rnacentral:rRNA from 1 species
UACGGAGGAUCCAAGCGUUAUCCGGAUUUAUUGGGUUUAAAGGGUGCGUAGGCGGCCUAUUAAGUCAGGGGUGAAAGACGGUAGCUUAACUAUCGCAGUGCCUUUGAUACUGAUGGGCUUGAAUGAACUAGAGGUAGGCGGAAUGUGACAAGUAGCGGUGAAAUGCGUAGAUAUGUCACAGAACACCAAUUGCGAAGGCAGCUUACUAUGGUUUAUUGACGCUGAGGCACGAAAGCGUGGGGAUCAAACAGG